rnacentral:rRNA from 1 species
UCAAGCGAACAAGUGCAUGUGGUGGAUGCCUUGGCGAUCACAGGCGAUGAAGGACGCGGUAGCCUGCGAAAAGCUUCGGGGAGCUGGCAAACAAGCUUUGAUCCGGAGAUGUCCGAAUGGGGAAACCCGGCCCGAAUGGGUCAUCCCUGACUGAAUACAUAGGUCAGGGAAGCGAACGCGGCGAACUGAAACAUCUAAGUAGCUGCAGGAACAGAAAUCAACCGAGAUUCCCAAAGUAGUGGCGAACGAAAUGGGAAGAGCCUUGUACUCUUUAGCAGUGUUGUUAGCAGAACGGUCUGGAAAGGCCGGCCAUAGCAGGUGAUAGCCCUGUAUGCGAAAACAGCGUUGUGGAACUAGGUGUACGACAAGUAGGGCGGGACACGUGAAAUCCUGUCUGAAGAUGGGGGGACCAUCCUCCAAGGCUAAAUACUCGUGAUCGACCGAUAGUGAACCAGUACCGUGAGGGAAAGGCGAAAAGAACCCCGGGAGGGGAGUGAAAUAGAUCCUGAAACCGCAUGCAUACAAACAGUCGGAGCCUGGAAACGGGUGACGGCGUACCUUUUGUAUAAUGGGUCAGCGACUUACAUUCAGUGGCAAGCUUAACCGAUUAGGGAAGGCGUAGCGAAAGCGAGUCCGAAUAGGGCGUUCAGUCGCUGGGUGUAGACCCGAAACCAGACGAUCUAUCCAUGGCCAGGUUGAAGGUGCGGUAACACGUACUGGAGGACCGAACCCACUAACGUUGAAAAGUUAGGGGAUGAGCUGUGGAUAGGGGUGAAAGGCUAAACAAGUCUGGAAAUAGCUGGUUCUCUCCGAAAACUAUUUAGGUAGUGCCUCGUGUCUCACCUUCGGGGGUAGAGCACUGUCAUGGUUGGGGGGUCUAUUGCUGAUUACCCCGCCAUAGCAAACUCCGAAUACCGAAGAGUGCAAUCACGGGAGACAGACAUCGGGUGCUAACGUCCGGUGUCAAGAGGGAAACAACCCAGACCGCCAGCUAAGGUCCCAAAGAUUGGCUAAGUGGGAAACGAAGUGGGAAGGCUAAAACAGUCAGGAGGUUGGCUUAGAAGCAGCCACCCUUUAAAGAAAGCGUAAUAGCUCACUGAUCGAGUCGUCCUGCGCGGAAGAUGUAACGGGGCUAAGCCAGUCACCGAAGCUGCGGAUGCACGUAAGUGCAUGGUAGGAGAGCGUUCUGUAAGCCUGUGAAGGUGUCUUGUAAAGGAUGCUGGAGGUAUCAGAAGUGCGAAUGCUGACAUGAGUAGCGAUAAAGGGGGUGAAAAGCCCCCUCGCCGUAAGCCCAAGGUUUCCUACGCAACGUUCAUCGGCGUAGGGUGAGUCGGCCCCUAAGGCGAGGCAGAGAUGCGUAGCUGAUGGGAAGCAGGUUAAUAUUCCUGCACCGUCGUAUGAUGCGAUGGGGGGACGGAUCGCGGAAGGUUGUCCGGGUGUUGGAAGUCCCGGUCCCUGUAUUGGAGAAGGCGCUUAGGCAAAUCCGGGCGCGGAAUUCAAGGAUAUGGGGCGAGCGGCCUAGUGCUGCGAAGCAAUUGGAAGUGGUUCCAAGAAAAGCCUCUAAGCUUCAGUCAUACGAGACCGUACCGCAAACCGACACAGGUGGGCGAGAUGAGUAUUCUAAGGCGCUUGAGAGAACUCGGGAGAAGGAACUCGGCAAAUUGGUACCGUAACUUCGGGAUAAGGUACGCCCUUGUAGCUUGACUGGCCUGCGCCAGGAGGGUGAAGGGGUUGCAAUAAAAUGGUGGCUGCGACUGUUUAAUAAAAACACAGCACUCUGCAAACACGAAAGUGGACGUAUAGGGUGUGACGCCUGCCCGGUGCCGGAAGAUUAAAUGAUGGGGUGCAAGCUCUUGAUUGAAGUCCCGGUAAACGGCGGCCGUAACUAUAACGGUCCUAAGGUAGCGAAAUUCCUUGUCGGGUAAGUUCCGACCUGCACGAAUGGCGUAACGAUGGCCACACUGUCUCCUCCCGAGACUCAGCGAAGUUGAAGUGUUUGUGAUGAUGCAAUCUCCCCGCGGCUAGACGGAAAGACCCCAUGAACCUUUACUGUAGCUUUGCAUUGGACUUUGAACCGAUCUGUGUAGGAUAGGUGGGAGGCUUUGAAGCGUGGACGCUAGUCUGCGUGGAGCCGACCUUGAAAUACCACCCUGGUUUGUUUGAGGUUCUAACCUUGGCCCGUGAAUCCGGGUCGGGGACAGUGCAUGGUAGGCAGUUUGACUGGGGCGGUCUCCUCCCAAAGUGUAACGGAGGAGUUCGAAGGUACGCUUGGUACGGUCGGACAUCGUACCUAAAGUGCAAUGGCAAAAGCGUGCUUAACUGCGAGACCGACAAGUCGAGCAGGUGCGAAAGCAGGACAUAGUGAUCCGGUGGUUCUGAAUGGAAGGGCCAUCGCUCAACGGAUAAAAGGUACUCUGGGGAUAACAGGCUGAUACCGCCCAAGAGUUCAUAUCGACGGCGGUGUUUGGCACCUCGAUGUCGGCUCAUCUCAUCCUGGGGCUGUAGCCGGUCCCAAGGGUAUGGCUGUUCGCCAUUUAAAGAGGUACGUGAGCUGGGUUUAAAACGUCGUGAGACAGUUUGGUCCCUAUCUGCCGUGGGCGUUGGAAUCUUGACGGGGGCUGCUCCUAGUACGAGAGGACCGGAGUGGACGUACCGCUGGUGUACCUGUUGUCUCGCCAGAGGCAUCGCAGGGUAGCUAUGUACGGAAGAGAUAACCGCUGAAAGCAUCUAAGCGGGAAACUCGCCUGAAGAUGAGGAUUCCCUGGAGGCUUGACCUCCUUGAAGGGUCGUUCGAGACCAGGACGUUGAUAGGCUGGGUGUGGAAGCGCAGUAAUGCGUUAAGCUAACCAGUACUAAUUGCCCGUAAGGCUUGAUCCU